GACGAACGCUGGCGGCGUGCCUAAUACAUGCAAGUUGAGCGCUGAAGGUUGGUACUUGUACCGACUGGAUGAGCAGCGAACGGGUGAGUAACGCGUGGGGAAUCUGCCUUUGAGCGGGGGACAACAUUUGGAAACGAAUGCUAAUACCGCAUAAAAACUUUAAACACAAGUUUUAAGUUUGAAAGAUGCAAUUGCAUCACUCAAAGAUGAUCCCGCGUUGUAUUAGCUAGUUGGUGAGGUAAAGGCUCACCAAGGCGAUGAUACAUAGCCGACCUGAGAGGGUGGUCGGCCACAUUGGGACUGAGACACGGCCCAAACUCCUACGGGAAGCAGCAGGAGGGGAACUUCGGCAAUGGACGAAAGUCUGACCGGGCAACGCCGCGGGAGUGAAGAAAGUUUUCGGGUCGUAAAACUCUGUUGGUAGAGAAGAACGUUGGUGAGAGUGGAAAGCUCAUCAAGUGACAGUAACUACCCAGAAAGGGACGGCUAACUACGUG
rnacentral:rRNA from 1 species